GUGGGGAAUCUUAGACAAUGGGCGCAAGCCUGAUCUAGCCAUGCCGCGUGAGCGAUGAAGGCCUUAGGGUUGUAAAGCUCUUUCAGCUGGGAAGAUAAUGACGGUACCAGCAGAAGAAGCCCCGGCUAACUCCGUGCCAGCAGCCGCGGUAAUACGGAGGGGGCUAGCGUUGUUCGGAAUUACUGGGCGUAAAGCGCGCGUAGGCGGACCAGAAAGUUGGAGGUGAAAUCCCAGGGCUCAACCUUGGAACUUCCUUCAAAACUCCUGGUCUUGAGUUCGAGAGAGGUGAGGGGAAUUCCGAGUGUAGAGGUGAAAUUCGUAGAUAUUCGGAGGAACACCAGUGGCGAAGGCGGCUCACUGGCUCGAUACUGACGCUGAGGUGCGAAAGCGUGGGGAGCAAACAGGAUUAGAAACCCCUGUAGUCC
rnacentral:rRNA from 1 species